rnacentral:tRNA from 1 species
GUCCUUGUAGUAUAAUAAUUACCCUGGCCUUGUAAACCAAAAAUGAAGUAUAGACCCUUCCUAGGACA